rnacentral:rRNA from 1 species
AGAACGAACGCUGGCGGCAGGCCUAAAACAUGCAAGUCGAACGCUCUAGCAAUAGAGAGUGGCGCACGGGUGCGUAACAUGUGGGAAUAUGCCUUUUGGUACGGAACAACUUUUGGAAACGAAAGCUAAUACCGUAUGGUCCCUUCGGGGUAAAGAUUUAUCGCCAAAAGAGUAGCCCGCACUGGAUUAGCUAGUUGGUGAGGUAAUGGCUCACCAAGGCGACGAUCCAUAGCUGGUCUGAGAGGACGAUCAGCCACACUGGGACUGAGACACGGCCCAGACUCCUACGGGAGGCAGCAGUUAGGAAUCUUGGACAAUGGGCGCAAGCCUGAUCCAGCCAUGCCGCGUGAGUGAUGAAGGCCUUCGGGUUGUAAAGCUCUUUAGUCCACGAAUAUAAUGACUGUAGUGGAAGAAUAAGCCCCGGCUAACUUCGUGCCAGCAGCCGC